UUUCCGGUUGAUCCCGCCGCCGGCCACCGCUAUCAAGUUCCGACUAAGCCAUGCGAGUCAAGGUAUCGUAAGAUGCCGGCAAACUGCUCAGUAACACGUGGAUAACCUAACCUUGAGUAAGGGAUAACCUCGGGAAACUGAGGAUAAUACCUUAUAAUUGCUUAAAACUGGAAUGUUUAAGCAAUAAAAGUUCCGACGCUCAAGGAUGAGUCUGCGACCUAUCAGGUAGUAGGUGGUGUAAUGGACCACCUAGCCUCAGACGGGUACGGGCCCUGGGAGGGGUAGCCCGGAGAUGGACUCUGAGACAUCAGUCCAGGCCCUACGGGGCGCAGCAGGCGCGAACACUGUGCAAUGCGCGAAAGCGCGACACGGGGAGCUUGAGUGUCUUGGCAUAGCCAAGACUUUUCUCAUUCCUAAAAAGCAUGAGGAAUAAGUGCUGGGUAAGACGGGUGCCAGCCGCCGCGGUAACACCCGCAGCACAAGUGGUGGUCACUUUUAUUGAGCCUAAAGCGUUCGUAGCCGGUUUUGUAAAUCUUUAGAUAAAGCCUGAAGCUUAACUCCAGAAAGUCUGAAGAGACUGCAAGACUUGAGAUCGGGUGAGGUUAAACGUACUUUCAGGGUAGGGGUAAAAUCCUGUAAUCCCGGAAGGACGACCAGUGGCGAAAGCGUUUAACUAGAACGAAUCUGACGGUAAGGAACGAAGGCUAGGGUAGCAAACCGGAUUAGAUACCCGGGUAGUCCUAGCUGUAAACACUGCCCAUUUGAUGUUGCUUUCCCGUUGAGGGAAGGCAGUGUCGGAGCGAAGGUGUUAAAUGGGCCGCUUGGGAAGUAUGGUCGCAAGACUGAAACUUAAAGGAAUUGGCGGGGGAGCACCGCAACGGGAGGAAUGUGCGGUUUAAUUGGAUUCACCGCCGGA
rnacentral:rRNA from 1 species